UACGUAGGUGGCAAGCGUUGUCCGGAUUUACUGGGCGUAAAGAGCGCGCAGGCGGUCGUUCAAGUCGCGUGUGAAAGCCCCCGGCUCAACUGGGGAGGGUCACGCGAUACUGAUCGACUCGAAGGGCAGGAGAGGGAAGUGGAAUUCCCGGUGUAGUGGUGAAAUGCGUAGAUAUCGGGAGGAACACCAGUGGCGAAGGCGACUUCCUGGCCUGUUCUUGACGCUGAGGCGCGAAAGCUAGGGGAGCAAACGGG
rnacentral:rRNA from 1 species